rnacentral:lncRNA from 1 species
AAGAUGUGGCAAGUCAUGUAGGAAAUAUCCCAAGAACCAAAGGCUUAGUAGCAGGAAUGAGCAUGGGAAAUACAGGAGAUGGUUAAAAGGGAAGAAAGAAAGAAAAGUGGUUGGGGAGUUCAAGACUCAUCUGGAAAAACUGAAGGAGAUAAAGCUAUCUUCUUCUAUUUCCCUCCAUAGUGUUCUUACAUCUGACUCCCAUACCUGCCUAAUCUCUUGAAGGCCAUUCCCAACUUUUAAACUACCAUCAAAAUCUAGUUUUCCAUUCUUCUUCAAGUUGAUAUCAGAAAUGUCUAGAAUAGGAGUAUUGAGGUUACUUUUGAACUGCAAAAAUUGGGAAUGAAUAAUGACACUUCAUAGAGUAGUUAAAGUUUAAUAGCUUUUGAGUCAGAUGACCUAGAUUCAAAUGUGGCACCAGAAUUUCUUUGUUGUGUGACUAUUCAGUGAAUUAUUUACCUCAUCUGAACCCUAGUUUCCUCAUUGGCGAGGUGGGUAUAAGAUAUACUUUGUAGAGUUGCUUUGAUACAUAUGUGAGGCCACAUAUUUAAACUUCCUAGCACAGUGCGUGCCUCUUAGUAGGAUUAAUGGUUGUCUGCCUGUGCCCUGUUGAAUAGACUAUGUUUCUCUGUCUAAAGGAUUUUAUCUAUGGUCAUAACCUUGACAAACCUAUUAUGCUUUUAACUCCCAGAUGUCUAUGUCUCAUGUAAUCUACUCUGAAUCUUCAAGUCUGAAAUUUCUGAAGCAUCUUGGAUAUCUUCUCAUUGUUAUCUUGGUUUUUGCCAAUUCACUAUCCACUUGAGUCAGCCUUUUGCCCCCACGAUCCACAGAAAUAGAUGAGUUUUGCUGUUAUUUAUUCUAGAUCAAAAAAUGUCUUCUGGACAAAAACAUUGUUGAAUGUUGGGACUACAUUUAAUUUUAUCUUCUGCUAAAUUUUGGUGAGUAAAUUUAUCAUAUUUAAAUAUAUGUGAACACAAAAAAAAUUUUACUACUACUUCAGUAAGAAGGUUGGUCUGGUUUAUCUAGAUCAGAGUUCAGAAAACAUUUCCUAAAAAGGUCCAGAUAGUAAAUAUUUUUGACUUUAUAGACCCUAUGGUAUCCCUUCUAAUGAUUCCAC